rnacentral:rRNA from 1 species
AUUGAACGCUGGCGGCAUGCUUUACACAUGCAAGUCGAACGGUAACAGGUUAAGCUGACGAGUGGCGAACGGGUGAGUAAUGCAUCGGAACGUGCCCGAUCGUGGGGGAUAACGCAGCGAAAGCUGCGCUAAUACCGCAUACGAUCUGAGGAUGAAAGCGGGGGACCGUAAGGCCUCGCGCGAUCGGAGCGGCCGAUGUCAGAUUAGGUAGUUGGUGGGGUAAAGGCCCACCAAGCCGACGAUCUGUAGCUGGUCUGAGAGGACGACCAGCCACACUGGGCCUGAGACACGGCCCAGACUCCUACGGGAGGCAGCAGUGGGGAAUUUUGGACAAUGGGCGAAAGCCUGAUCCAGCCAUUCCGCGUGCAGGAUGAAGGCCCUCGGGUUGUAAACUGCUUUUGUACAGAACGAAAAGGUUUCUACUAAUACUAGGAGCUCAUGACGGUACUGUAAGAAUAAGCACCGGCUAACUACGUGCCAGCCGCCGCGGUAA